UACGGAGGGUGCAAGCGUUGUUCGGAAUCACUGGGCGUAAAGCGCGUGUAGGCGGCCUCCUAAGUCUGGUGUGAAAGCCCGGGGCUUACCCCCGGAAGUGCACUGGAAACUGGGAGACUAGAGUACCGGAGAGGAGGGUGGAAUUCCUGGUGUAGCGGUGAAAUGCGUAGAUAUCAGGAAGAACACCGGUGGCGAAGGCGGCCCUCUGGACGGAUACUGACGCUGAGACGCGAAAGCGUGGGGAGCAAACAGG
rnacentral:rRNA from 1 species